rnacentral:lncRNA from 1 species
AGCUCACACCUGUUAGUCCUGCAAUUCUUCUUGAGAAAAUGCUCAGGUUUGAUGCAGUAAGAAUUAAGAUGGCCAUGUUUCUGAAGAGACAUAAGGUAGCUGAAAUUGCGAGAUGGUAGGUUUCUUACCCCGUCGAGGGUGGCGAAGAGCUUGCCGGUGAGGUCCUUGAGGUCCUUCUUCUCCUCCUUGGUGGUCUUGGAGGAGAUGACGGUCUUGAGGUCAUAGCGUAGGUAGGAGGCCCUGAGGCGGAGGUCGUUCAUGACGUACGGCCAUUGCUUCUUGUCGAUGAGCGGCUUGAGGUUGAGGAUGUCCUGGGCCGACUCCUUGGCCCGGACCGCCGCCUCCGCCGGUGGCAGCGGCUGCAGGUAGAACCGGUUCUUCAGGGGCAGGUCGAAGUCCCUUGCCUCGUCGGAGUUGUCCGUGCCGGCUGAACACACACCCAAAUCAUCCAUCAGAUCAGGCGUAAAAUCAUUAUAUAUAUAUAGUCUACUAAAGCGAGCAUAGUAUGGUAGAUGAUGUACGAGCAGC